UACAAGGUUUGUAGCUGCAGGUCCGCACCCAAAACACUUCAAUGUAGAUAACACCAAACAGGAUUCAACAACUACUGACACGUUAAGUCAUUACUUGAGGUAAACCUCACCACUUAUUUUCACGGACAUUUCAGCCGAGCUUUUGUUAAAGCCAUAGGAAACGACCAAUCGAAUUCCCCUCACCUCGUCUGCUGACUUCUAAAAUGGGCUUAUGGAAUUGGUUAAAAUCUAUUUUUCUGGGCGAUCCUCCCCCACCUUCUCCAAAAGUUCUGCCUCAAGAAUGGAGGAACGUUCCUUGGGGAAAACAAGCAGGAGACUUGCAGAUUGUGAAGGAAUACCAGCCUUUUAAAGAUAAUGUCCAGCUCAGAUUUAUGCUUUAUGGAUCUGUUGGUGCUGGCAAGUCCAGCUUCAUCAACUCUGUGGAAAGUGCUUUACGAGGCGAAAUAACUGAUCGAGCUAAAACAGAUGUGAUCGGUGGCAAGAGCUACACCACAAAAUACAAAGCCUACAAAAUCCAAAAAGGAGGACCAGGGACACAUUACCCUUUUGUCUUCAAUGACAUCAUGGGCCUCGAGAAGGAUGAAGGAGUUUGUCUGGAAGACAUCAAACUGGCCAUGAAGGGACACGUGAAGGAUGGUUACAAGUUCAAUCCUCGCUCUUCCUUGUCUGAGAAUGAUCAAUACUACAACAGAGACCCCUCUCUAAAUGACAGAGUUCAUGUUCUGGUUUGCAUCCUCCCUGGCAGCAUAGCAGGAUUGCAGCAUGAUUCUGUGAAAAAGUUGAGGGAAGUCAGACUUGCAGCCAGGGACAUGGGGAUUCCCGAAAUUGCUAUUCUCACCAAAAUUGAUGAAGCCUGUCCAGAGGUCGGCGAGGAUAUACAGAACGUGUAUAAGAGCAAGUACCUGAAGAACAAGAUUGAGGAGGUGAGUGGCGAGCUGGGUUUCCCACCAAGCUGCAUCUUUCCUGUGAAGAACUACCACUCAAAAGUGUUUUCCCGGGUACUUGACACCUUAGGUAUCAAGCAUGUGACAUCCAGCCCAUAUCAUCCUGAAAGUCAGGGGGGCAUUAGAGAGGUUUCACCAGACUAUGAAAUGCAUGUUAAGAAAACAUUGCCACGAGUCUCAUAAAGAUUGGGAUGACGGUGUUCCUUUAGUGUUAUUUGCUGCCCGUGAAGCUGUUCAGGAUUUAGUCCUGCUGAGCUAGUGUUUGGACAUGAGGUCAGAGGUCCUUUAAGAGUUCUUAAAGAGCAUUUGAUCAUGCCAACGAAAAACAAUUGCAGUAUCCCGGAGUAUGUCGCCAAACUUAGGGAUUGUCUACAUCGUGCUUGCUCCUUGGCUAGGGAAGCUCUGACCUCUACCCAGGGGAAGAUGAAGAAACGCUACGACCAGAAGGCGGUAGAGCGCUUGUUUCAGCCAGGUGACAAGGUGUUGGUUCUAUUGCCUGUACCUGGUUCUGCUCUGUCUACUAAAUGUUCUGGUCCUUAUGUUGUAGAUAAGAAGCUCGGUGAAACGAACUACGUCAUUCAAACACCUGACCGCAGACGUCCUACCAGAGUGUGUCACAUCAACAUGCUGAAGAAGUACUGCUCCAGGGAUGACCAAAAUGAGUCUUCCAAAGCUCACCAGGUGGGGACGACCGUCUCUCCUAUGGCUUCAGAGGGUGAGCUCAAAUGAGGAUGAGGAUGAGUUGGUGAUGCGCAGUGCAACACCACAGGGGGCAAGACUAAGCAAUACUGAGGUAUUGGCUGAUUUGCCCAAUUACUUGUCUCAUCUCCCUGAUAACCAAGAAAGUGAUAUACAGAAGCUGAUAGUUGACUUUGCAUGUCUUUUUAAUGACACUCCCUCACAAACUUCUGUCCUAGCUCAUGAUGUGGUCUUGACCAACCCUUUGCCGAUCAAACAGCGUGCGUAUCGAGUUAACCCAGUUAAAAGAGAGGUUAUGAAAAGGGAAGUUGAGUAUCUACUUUAAAAUGGAUUUGCAAGGCCUAGUUCCAGUCCAUGGAGUUCCCCUUGUGUGCUAGACACAAAGUCCGAUGGAAGUCCCAGAUUCUGCACUGACUUUCGCAAGGUUAAUGCUGUCACUGUCCCCGAUGCACACCCGUUACCGCUCAUUGAUGACUGCAUCGAUGAAAUUGGUCCUGCACAAUUUGUCAGUAAGCUGGACAUGUUAAAGGGAUACUGGCAAGUUCCUUUAACACAGCGUGCUUCCGAUAUCUCAGCCUUUGUGACACCUGACAGUUUCCUUCAGUACUGUGAUGCCUUUCGGUAUGUGUAACGCACCUGCCACCUUUCAGAGGCUUGUAAAUCUUGUAUUAGGACAUGUUCCAAACUGUAAGGCAUAUCUGGACGACAUUGUUGUCUAUUCUAAUGACUGGGCUAGCCAGUAUUCUGUGUUGUACUCCUGUUCUUUCUGCACCAGACUUUUCGAAGCCAUUCAAGCUCGAGGUCGAUGCCAGUGGAGUUGGGGCAGGGGCUGUUCUUCUACAAGAAGAUGCACAGGCCAUCGAUCACCCCCUAAUCAGCAGCUGAUCAGUCCCUGCCUGUGCACCUGAGUCUGAUGGCUGAUUGGAUCCUCUCACCCUCAGCUGGCCUAUCAGCAGCCAGGGCCGACCAUAAAGGAGGCACCCAGGAAGUCUUCUCCCUCUCUCUCACUCUGGGCCUGUUGCUGACGGAGGAGCCUGAAUUCGACUGCAGUGUUUAGAAAGUCAUUCUACCUUGUUUGUUCUGACCUUUGUGAAAGUGUGUGUGUUGAGAGGUGGGGGAGUUAGGUAAGUCUGGGGUACCCUGUACAUUUCUCAUCACGUAGGUAACUAAUGUUUAGACACUAGGUUAGCGGAUUGUUGCCACCCCUGUAUUCUGUUUUGUCCAGUUCUGAGUAGUUUAGUUAGUGAGGGUUUUUGUUUGAGUUUUGGUUUCAAAGGAUAGAUGUAGAGAGAGGCCUGGUUUUGUUAUGCUUAUUUAUUUUGUUUGGCACAGUCUCCUUUGUCUCCUCCUCCUCUUCACACAAAGAGUAUUUCUGUUCAGUUCUAGGUUUACAAGGAAUAAACCUUUUAUCAACCUUUA